UACGUAGGGACCAAGCGUUGUUCGGAUUUACUGGGCGUAAAGGGCGCGUAGGCGGCAAUUCAAGUCAUCUGUGAAAUCUCCGGGCUUAACCCGGAACGGUCAGGUGAUACUGUUUUGCUAGAGUGCGGAAGGGGCAAUCGGAAUUCUCGGUGUAGCGGUGAAAUGCGUAGAUAUCGAGAGGAACACCAGAGGUGAAGACGGGUUGCUGGGCCGACACUGAGGCGCGACAGCGUGGGGAGCAAACAGG
rnacentral:rRNA from 1 species